rnacentral:lncRNA from 1 species
AAUGGGAAGAACAGCUGGGUGUCGGGAGGAGGCGUUGAUCAGAACAGAGAUCUUUAACUCUGAGUAGAGGCUAUAAGUGAGCCGGGAAAGAGAAGAGAACUGGAUGAAAAUAGGGCACUGAUGACAGACGAAGGAAAUCAGUUCACCCAAGCUCAGUGACCACGUGACUCAACCAGCUGCCUCACUGAACGGCCCAUUCCAGCCUGGGUGGACUCUUGCCACAGCUGCCUGUGUCCCUGGAGCUCUCUACACAGCUUGCAGGCGGCUGGUGUGGGCUGAGACCCUCCACUUCAGCUCUUGUCUCUGAGUAUAAUCACACUAGGUAGG